UACGGGGGGGCAAGCGUUGUUCGGAAUACUGGGCGUAAAGGGCUCGUAGGCGGCCAACUAAGUCGGAUGUGAAAUCCCCAGGCUUAACCUGGGGAACUGCAUCCGAUACUGGAUGGCUUGAAUCCGGGAGAGGGAUGCGGAAUUCCAGGUGUAGCGGUGAAAUGCGUAGAUAUCUGGAGGAACACCGGUGGCGAAGGCGGGUCUCUGGGCCGAUACUGGACGCUGAGGAGCGAAAGCGUGGGGAGCAAACAGG
rnacentral:rRNA from 1 species